UGUUGGAAUGACGGACGAAAUUUGUGUAUACAUAUGUAAACAAACGGGUCCGGCUACUUGCGGAAAAGGAGAAUCUAUGUGGCGGAGAACGCAGACGAAAAUCAAACGGAGUUUCAAAGCGAUUGAAAGAAAGUAAUUAAUACGGCUGAAACUUUACCCCGUUGACUUACAACGUCGACUUGGAUUCGUAACGAGGAAUUUAGAUUGAAUGGAACGAAUAUGAAUAUUUAUGUUUUCUAUUAAGUCGCAGUAUGAUGUAUUUGAUUAGUAAGAAAGUUCUGUUAUAAAGGCUGGCGCGACGGAUAUUGAUAGAACGUUAAAUUUCUCGGAUAAUGAACUGUUAUUCGCAAUGAGAUAGAAGAAUGUUCAGCGAAGCAUUGAAAUGAAAUAAGCGAAAUCAAACGACGAAAUCAUGGUAUGUGCAAAUAGAGCGUUUUUGCCAGCGAGAAUUCUUUUCAUAGCUCGUGAAGUUAACCAGUCGAGAGCCGAAACCAUGAAGAAGCGAAUAGCAGCUGUGUGUGCAUAAAGCUUGUUUGAGGGUUCGAGUCACUGUUUGUUCAACUGUUAAUUCAACGUGCCUGCUCUCUGUACACUAUACAGCCACUAUUUACAAGCACUUGGAUACUUUGUGGAAUCUGUUCAAAAACUCCUUAUUGUUAUCAUUGUUAUUCUUCUUAUUGCCAUUGUAACACUUAUAAAUUUUUAGAGGAAUGUUUUCAGUUAAAAUAACACAGAAUAUAUUUUUUUCCAAUUUUAA